rnacentral:lncRNA from 1 species
GGUAGGAAGAUGGCUGAAGACUAUGCUGAUUCAAGCCAAAGCAAGGAAUCAGGAUGGGCUGCAAAGGAGAUUCUUCCAGGAUUUCAGAAGUUGGAAGGGAGGCAGAAUCCAUUUGGUAACAUAAACACAUUAUUGCUUAUCUGCUGACUCAACUUGGGAUGAAGCAGCAGCUGAGCCAGUUGUGUGUGUACAGCUCAAGGACAAAGGUCCUUAGCUUCUGCAGAAUACUAUCAUCACCAAGCUCACAGGCUUCUAGAGCAGACAUGUGUUUCAGUCCAUUCUGUGGGCUUCCAGCUCCUACUCUUGGAGUUCCUGCCUUUUUUAUGAUAUUACCUUUCUAACUGCAUAUGCUAUGGACUUCAAGCACUUGAAUCAGAUGUAGAGACAUUAUAUGGACUGCUUGAGUAGCCCCCACAACUGU